AGGAAGCCUGAGAAACGGCUGCCACAUCCAAGGAAG
rnacentral:rRNA from 1 species